GCGGCAGCUAUCCGGGGCUUCGCCGCGGACGCUGGUCGCGGCGGCGUCGCGCAGGCGCGCGAGGUUGUGGUGGAAGCUCAUAGCGGCAGUUCC
rnacentral:tRNA from 2 species